GACGUAGGGCGCGAGCGUUGUCCGGAUUUAUUAGGCGUAAAGAGCUCGUAGGCGGCUUGUCGCGUCGUCCGUGAAAACCCACAGCUCAACUGUGGGCUUGCGGUCGAUACGGGCAGGCUAGAGUUCGGUAGGGGAGACUGGAAUUCCUGGUGUAGCGGUGAAAUGCGCAGAUAUCAGGAGGAACACCGGUGGCGAAGGCGGGUCUCUGGGCCGAUACUGACGCUGAGGAGCGAAAGCGUGGGGAGCGAACAGG
rnacentral:rRNA from 1 species